ACUCCUACGGGAGGCAGCAGUGGGGAAUAUUGCACAAUGGGCGCAAGCCUGAUGCAGCCAUGCCGCGUGUAUGAAGAAGGCCUUCGGGUUGUAAAGUACUUUCAGCAGUGAGGAAGGUGGGUAUGUUAAUAGCAUACUCAUUUGACGUUAGCUGCAGAAGAAGCACCGGCUAACUCCGUGCCAGCAGCCGCGGUAAUACGGAGGGUGCGAGCGUUAAUCGGAAUUACUGGGCGUAAAGCGCAUGCAGGUGGUUUGUUAAGUCAGAUGUGAAAGCCCGGGGCUCAACCUCGGAAUUGCAUUUGAAACUGGCAAACUAGAGUACUGUAGAGGGGGUAGAAUUUCAGGUGUAGCGGUGAAAUGCGUAGAGAUCUGAAGGAAUACCGGUGGCGAAGGCGGCCCCCUGGACAGAUACUGACACUCAGAUGCGAAAGCGUGGGGAGCAAACAGGAUUAGAUACCCUGGUAGGAUAGCG
rnacentral:rRNA from 1 species